GACGAACGCUGGCGGCGUGCUUAACACAUGCAAGUCGAACGGAAAGGCCCUGCUUUUGUGGGGUGCUCGAGUGGCGAACGGGUGAGUAACACGUGAGUAACCUGCCCUUGACUUUGGGAUAACUUCAGGAAACUGGGGCUAAUACCGGAUAGGAGCUCCUGCUGCAUGGUGGGGGUUGGAAAGUUUCGGCGGUUGGGGAUGGACUCGCGGCUUAUCAGCUUGUUGGUGGGGUAGUGGCUUACCAAGGCUUUGACGGGUAGCCGGCCUGAGAGGGUGACCGGCAACAUUGGGACUGAGAUACGGCCCAGAAUCCGACGGGAGGCAGCAGUGGGGAAUAUUGCACAAUGGGCGGAAGCCUGAUGCAGCAACGCCGCGUGCGGGAUGACGGCCUUCGGGUUGUAAACCGCUUUCGCCUGUGACGAAGCGUGAGUGACGGUAAUGGGUAAAGAAGCACCGGCUAACUACGUG
rnacentral:rRNA from 1 species